rnacentral:rRNA from 1 species
CCUACGGGCGGCAGCAGUGGGGAAUAUUGCACAAUGGGCGCAAGCCUGAUGCAGCCAUGCCGCGUGUGUGAAGAAGGCCUUCGGGUUGUAAAGCACUUUCAGCGGGGAGGAAGGCGGUGAGGUUAAUAACCUCAUCGAUUGACGUUACCCGCAGAAGAAGCACCGGCUAACUCCGUGCCAGCAGUCGCGGUAAUACGGAGGGUGCAAGCGUUAAUCGGAAUGACUGGGCGUAAAGCGCACGCAGGCGGUCUGUCAAGUCGGAUGUGAAAUCCCCGGGCUCAACCUGGGAACUGCAUUCGAAACUGGCAGGCUAGAGUCUUGUAGAGGGGGGUGGAAUUCCAGGUGUAGCGGUGAAAUGCGUAGAGAUCUGGAGGAAUACCGGUGGCGAAGGCGGCCCCCUGGACAAAGACUGACGCUCAGGUGCGAAAGCGUGGGGAGCAAACAGGAUUAGAUACCCGUGUAGUC